AAACCCUAAAACCCUAAAGAUCCGUAAAGUAUCGGUUUCACCAGAGACUCCGACGAAAUUGGAAAAGUGAAGGAGAAGAUUCGAGCGAGACGUAGAACACGAUCAAGGCGAUGAUGAUCCGUAAGGGUAAAAUUGGAAAAAGUAUUAUUAUAUCAUCGUUUUGUUUCGUUUCGUUUCGUUAAUUGAAUUUGAAUGAUAAAGAUCAGAUCGAUCUCCUCUGUUCUUCUUCUUCCGGUGGAAUUCUGAGUCUAGCCACAGAGAAGCUUUCACCAGUGAAGAGCCCUCGUCUUCUUGAUUUCUAUUUGAGAUUAGGAAUGAUUUAAUUAGAGAUCAUGAUGAUGAUUUAGUAUCUUAGAGAAUGAAUUGGCUAAUUCUGAAAUUUGCAGCCAUGUUUAUUUCUCGUCGUGAUGCUGAAGUUGGUUACAUCGUUAGUUUUGAGGAAACAAGAACCGUGCUUAAGUGAAGAUGAUGAUCAGUGAGUUCCUCUUGGAUCCACAGAUCCUGUAUUCAACUUCUCAAAUGAGAUUCUCUCUGUUUCAGCCAUGCUCUCUCAGCCUAUAGAGGAUCUCAAAAAGCAGCAAAUGAAGCUAAAGCUAGAUUUGGACACAUUGAUGGAGAUCAAUCUAACAUUGUUGUUGAAGCGUCUACCACGCUUUUAUUAUCCCUUUCUCUUCCUCUUUUGUUCAUUGCAUUGGGGUGGCUACGAAAUCUUCAUCAGCGAUAGAAAUCUGCAGACAAUGUUAGAUAGCAGCUUCGGAUAGAUAAUGUCAUGGUUCAACAACCUGAAGAUGUGCAGCACUCAUGCUUGCCAGUUUAUUUCAUGCAAGUGGCUCACUUAGAACACACUGGCCAUUUACUUGACAGCCAAGACAACCAAGUAUGUCAUGAAACGUGUCCUCGAGAAGCUGGAACGAGAACCGGAAAAGAAGGACAUUCAUAUCCUCAUAUGUCAAGUAUUAUAUAGCGAAUCAAGGUAUUAAGCAGGUUUGUUUUGUAUUAUGUGUAACAAACAAGUAGCUGAGAACGACAUCACAACUUUGCAGGGAUUUACGCGGGUUACGACCUAGUUUUUGUGAAGAAGAUGUUCCCAUGACAAUACUUAGACCAUGGCUAAUAGAUGAUAGUCCCAUGACAACUAAUGAUGGUUAAAGAUGGUUCAUUGAUCAAGAACCGCAUUAGUUGCAAGAUGGAAAUAUCAUAUUGGCUGUGGAAGGAUAAACGAACUGAGAACUGAGACUCGUUCCAAAAACUUCAAAAUGUAAAACAUAGCCAUUUAAAUCCAUGGAGUAUAAGAUAGUCAUGGAGUGCAUAAGAUGGCAUUGAUCCAUGUGACGCGAAGCUGAGAUUUUUCAAGGAUGAUUGAAAGGAAGAUUUGGAGAAAUUGUUCUGUUUUGUAGGGUUCUGCUCCAUUGGAAAUUGCUUUGUUUCGAUUUAUUUUGUUCUGAUUUUUAAAUUAGACCGGUAUCAAACCCGACUCAACAUGACCAGACCCGACCCGAUCCGUAUUCAAAAUCCUCGUUUUGUAUAUGUUUAUGUUCAAAUCUAUAUUAACA